AUGUAUAUCUGACAGUGGAGAUACCAUGAUCAUGAAGGUGGUUUUCCCAUGGCAAGGCUUAUCCACUGUAUUACAGCUUGCUCACCUCUGUGAUUCCCCAAACUCUGGAAAACCAACUGGAUAACUUUUGGUAGCAGGGAACUGUGUUCACAUUCUCUGC
rnacentral:snRNA from 1 species